rnacentral:rRNA from 1 species
GACAGAGGUGGCAAGCGUUGUCCGGAAUUACUGGGCGUAAAGCGCGCGUAGGUGGCUAGAUAAGUCCGGUGUGAAAUCCUUCGGCUUAACCGGGGAAUGGCAUCGGGGACUGUUUAGCUAGAGGACGGGAGAGGAGAGCGGAAUUCCCGGUGUAGCGGUGAAAUGCGUAGAGAUCGGAAGGAACACCAGUGGCGAAGGCGGCUACCUGGACAGAUACUGACGCUGAGGCGCGAGAGCGUGGGGAGCAAACAGG